rnacentral:rRNA from 1 species
UAUAUUAAAGUUGUUGCAGUUAAAAAGCUCGUAGUUGGAUUUCGGAAGGUCCUUAGUAAUCCGCCCCUUCGGGGAGCGGGUUGCUGGCCUCCUAUGUUCCUAACGGUCCUCAUCCGCGAGGGUGGGGAAUCAACCGCUAGGAUCGUUUACUUUGAGGAAAUUAGAGUGUUCAAAGCAGGCGUAACUCGCCUCCGAAUACGUUAGCAUGGGAUAAUGGAAUACGACUUCGGUCUUGUUUCGUUGGUUUCGCUUGGCUGAAGUAAUGAUUGAUAGGGACAGUUGGGGGCAUUAGUAUUUAGUUGUCAGAGGUGAAAUUCUAGGAUUUACUAAAGACUGACCAAUGCGAAAGCAUUUGCCAAGGAUGUUUUCAUUAAUCAAGAACGAAAGUAGGGGGAUCGAAGACGAUCAGAUACCGUCGUAGUCUCUACCGUAAACUAUGCCGACCAGGGAUCCGGAGAGUUUGCAUGGAUGACUCCCCGGGCACCUUGUGAGAAAUCAUAAGUGUUUGGGUUUUGGGGGGAGUAGGGUCGCAAGGCUGAAACUUAAAGGAAUUGACGGAAGGGCACCACCAGGAGUGGAACCUGCGGCUUAAUUCGACUCAAC